UAAACCUUUACCAAUCUUAUGGCCCCCAAAAUUAGUGUGCUAUUUUUAUUUUCCUUUUUUUACUAACACAAGGAUGAAUUAUCACAAGUUUGUAGGACAUCUGUAAUUUUUUCUUUUGUCAGUUAUUUGUCAUAUUUGUCCUUUUGCUACUGGGAUACUUUGAGCUGCUGACUGUAUGACCACAAUUUUAUUUUUGUUGCCAUAAAGCUGUCAACCAUGUGUGUUGUAAAAACACUUCCCAGUUCAUCAGUUUCCACUGGAUUUAGUUUAUAAUAUUUUAUGACGCAAACGUAUUUAUUUUCUGCAGUCAAGUAUACAUAGUUUUCUUUUGUGAUUUAUCCAAUGUCUUUUUAAGGCCAGGAAGUCCUAUACUUAGAAAAAAAAUGAGUUAAAUUCACCUGUAUGUUCUUAUUUUCCUUUAAAUUUCAUUUAAAAAAUCUAUUUUGGGGAUCCCUGGGUGGCGCAGCGGUUUGGCACCUGCCUUUGGCCCAGGGCGCGAUCCUGGACACCCGGGAUCGAGUCCCACAUCAGGCUCCCGGUGCAUGGAGCCUGCUUCUCCCUCUGCCUUUGUCUCUGCCUCUCCCUCUCUCUCUCUCUUUCUGUGACUAUCAUAAAUAAAUAAAAAAAAUUAUUUAAAAAAUCUAUUUUGAUACAGUAUGCAAGGUGAGGUUUUAGACGCAAAAUUUCCCCAAAAUACCAAGUUUCCCCUUCCACAGUGGUUUGUAAUACUUCCUCUUUCACACAUUAUAUUCUAAGUUAGUAUCAUCCCCAUGGGGGCUAGCCCUUCUUGGGAUACAGCUGCUAUUCCUGUGGGCACCACACUCGCAAAUACUGGAACUUUGUAAUACAUUUUCACACUUACUAGGAAUCUCCAGAAUUCCCCUUCUUUGGCACACAUUUCUUAGCUAUUCCUUCCUGUUCUAAGCUCGUUUUGAUAUCUGCCCCAGAUUUGGUACCAGCCACUCUCUCAGCUUCUUUUACUGAAAGAAUGGCAGCGAUCAGAACCCCAGCACUAGAGGAGCAGGUCAGAUGUUCCACACAACUUCUAGCAUUAGGGAGUGUGAUACCAGGGGCAGUCUAGACUCUUUCAGGUUUAGAGAGGAGCUUUUUAAAAGUUGCAAGUUCAUCCUGAUGCUACGAAUUUAUUUUUGUUUUUUUUUAAAGUAAGUUCUUAAGUAAGCAACCCAAGAUCAAGAGUUGCAAGCUCUUCUGACUGAGCCAACCAUGUGCCCCUCAAUGCUUCCAAAUCUUUAAACCUUGCUAAAACACAUAUACACACACACUUUGCUAUGUCUACAGUACUGCUCAUUGUACAUUUCCCUCCUCUCCAGACCUCCUUCCACAUUACCAUCCUUGCAUCCAUCCACUUUGAUACACCAUGCAGUGUGUUGCCACACUCGAUCCUGUUUAAAUUACGGUGUUGUACAAAAUUUAGAAGCGCCUUUCCUUUCUUUCCUUUUUGACACUUGCCUCCAUAUCCUCAAACUGGCUCAAAGUUGACAGGUCCAGAUAUUCUUCCCAAGUGUCAUCAUCUCCUCUGAGCACAUCCCCAGAUAUCUGGAAAGAAAAGGAAAGAAAGAGACAAGGAGAACAGAGAAGACAAAAUCAAAAGACAGGAAAGAAAAGGACACUACAAUAUAAGGCACCUGGUCUUGCCAAUGUUGUUCUCAUAUACUUAAAAAGUCAUCAAAUAAAAAGUAUUUCAAUAUUAAAAAAUAAAAUAUUGGGCAGCCCGGGUGGCUUAGCAGUUUAGCGCUGCCUUCAGCCCAGGGCCUGAUCCUGGAGACCCUGGAUCGAGUCCCACAUCAGGCUCCCUGCACGGAGCCUGCUUCUCCCUCUGCCUCUCUCUCUCUCAUGAAUAAAUAAAUAAAACCUUAAAAUAAAUAAAUAAAAUAAAAUAUUCCUCUUGUUUUUCACAACUAGGAACCAACAUAUAGGCCUUGCUUUAUUCUUUAAUUCAGAUUAGUGCAUGUUUUAUUAUGAUGACGAUUUAUUUUUAACCAUGGGAAAUUUUAGUACAAAACUCUAAUAUUUUAGAAGUCCUUUGGGUGGAUAGAUGCAUAGAUGGGCAUUUAGUCAUUAUCUCAAGGUUUCCCUCUCAUGCCAAUCAAGCAUAUUUGAAAAAAAUAACCAAAUUGAUAUUAAGAGUUAUUAGACAAAUAUACCUACAUGUCCAAUUUUCAUAUUCACAGCAAUUUUUCAAAGGACCAUAAAAUAUCCACAAUAGUACCUAGUAUCUACAAAAACACCAAAAAGGGAGGCUUCGACUUGGCAUUCCAAGUCCAAGUCCGGGAUCCCUGGGUGGCGCAGUGGUUUAGCGCCUGCCUUUGGCCCAGGGCGCGAUCCUGGAGACCCGGGAUCGAAUCUCACAUCGGGCUCCCGGUGCAUGGAGCCUGCUUCUCCCUCUGCCUAUGUCUCUGCCUCUCUCUCUCUGUGACUACCAUAAAUAAAUUA
rnacentral:lncRNA from 1 species